rnacentral:rRNA from 1 species
GUCCACGCCGUAAACGAUGGAUGCUAGUUGUCAGGCAGCAUGCUGUUUGGUGACGCAGCUAACGCAUUAAGCAUCCCGCCUGGGGAGUACGGCCGCAAGGUUAAAACUCAAAGAAAUUGACGGGGGCCCGCACAAGCGGUGGAGCAUGUGGUUUAAUUCGAAGCAACGCGCAGAACCUUACCUACCCUUGACAUACCAAUCGCGGAUUACAGAGAUGUUUUCCUUCAGUUAGGCUGGAUUGGA